UUAUUAUUACUAGAAACCUUUGUGUCUUGCUCUUGCUGUUCACUCACAUCAGUUAGUUCCUCAGAAGGGGUCUCAUCUGUUGAAUUAGGUUCCUUUUUAAGCUCGGACUCGAACUCCUUCGCUGCCUACAAGAUUCAAAAAUCUAAUGAGUGCCCAAUUAUGCAAUGAUGUAAAGCAUUUAACUGUUUAUAGAUGGCAUUAUGUCAAUGCUAAUUUCCUUAGAAUCUUGGCCACUUAUUAACAUGAUGAGUGCUGACUUCAUGCAUAAGCAUAACCCACAUCUGAUGCAAAACAAGGACAUUUGCAGAUUAAUACAAGUUAAAUCAAUGAUUCAAAGGUAUUGAAUACAGUAGCCGGAUAUGACAUCCUCUUUUCCUCCUAUGAAUGACCUCUUCAGUUUCUUGAAUGACCUUGUUUUAUUUAUUCCGUCCAUUUUUAUAGUACCAUAUUUUAGUUUUACCUUCAAGUUUUAAAUGCGCCUUUAUCCCAAAAGAGAAAACCAUAAUACCAAGAAAUCAAAUAAAAUAGUGGCAUUUCAAUCACUCAAUCAGUCUACUAAACAUUAACAGUAUUCUUUUUAGGUUGGGGGAGUGGAAGAAAACAGACACUCACCAAUAUUUUCUGUGUUAAAAAGCAUGUCUAUAAGAAGCUCCAACUAACAGCUUCUACCUACUAUUUGCAUGUGUUCCCUCAAAGUUUCAUGUAUUGGAAGAGAAAGAUUAACACAUUUUGUGAUAAGUGUAAGCCAAACCUACAUAAAGAUGCUUCGUCUAGGUCCAGGUGAGUGGGUUCCAAAUUUCCAAUCAUGCCUUGGGUGGAUAGGGGAGUAGGGAACAUUUAUGAACUUCAUGACUAAAAUGUACUACAUGUCUAAUGGAAUAUAAUUUAGAUAUCAAUUGAUCAACAAAUAUCAAUAGGAAAUCUUCCAAAAGGCAUCCAUCCACAACAAUUGAAUGAUGACUCUUUCAUUCUCGAAGAUGGAUAAUUUUUUGGUAAUACUAAGAGUAUACCCUCACCCUAUGUUCCCUUUUGGUGUGUAUGAUUGCCCCUCCCAACAAGUGUCGCUUCCAAGAAUCAAACUCUUGACAUUUUGGUCUUAUGGGGAUCUAGCGGGGCCUUAAUCCAGCAUCAGCGCCCGUAAAAAUGAAUUGAGACUGCUGCAAUAACAUUCAGAGUAUGUUUGAAGAAGAGCAACGUUCCUUACUCAAGUUUCUACCACACGUUUAUUUGAUUUAACAACAGAAUAGGAUCUAAAUUAGCAUAACUAUAAAUAUACCACUGCAAAAUAUUGGUAGUUAGAAUAGCUAUAUGGUUGUUGUUUAGAGUUAGAAAUUAAAAACAAACCAAUGAAGUCAUUGAGGUCAAUGUAACAUGAAGUGAGAUUUAUAUGUUGAAUGUUAAUUCAUUUGGAGUAUUUUCUCCUUGACUUGAAAAGGGAGGUCCUAUCAAUUGGUGCUCCCCUCUAUGUAACCUCCUGAGCACAACAAUAAGGUUGUUGCCUUUUGACCUGACCCUGGUUCAAAUCCACGAAACAGUCUUUCUAAGAUUGCAUGCAUUUACCUACCCAUACUUUAUUAGGUGAGGGUCUCGCGCACUAGGUUGCCCUCAACCUCAAAGUCAAAGAGAAACAAUCUUAAAUGAAUUAAUUAACAUCCACUAAAUAACUUUCACUAAGUCUAGCACCUUCUGCAUGUCAUAUAUCCUUCAACUAGAAAAUAACUUUAAAUUUAUUCAUCAAUUCAUUGAAACAAAAGAAAAUUGGCAUCAGUAACACUAACUAUGAACAAAAAAAAUCGCAAAACGGGUAAUAAAAAAAGCAGAAACCUGUUGGAAGCCCUUAAUGGUUUUUCCAAAGCUACGACCAACUUGGGGCAAAUUCUUGGGUCCAAAAAGAAGGGCAGCAACACCAGCUAUAACUGCUAGUUCCGGAACACCGAGUCCAAACAAGGCGUUGCAAGUGAGAGGCUUCGUUAUUCUGAUUUGGAUUCUACUUCUUCUCGAAGUGAUACUCAUCUUUUCAGUUUUCAUUAACAAAUUUGAAUUGGAGGCAGAGAAUGAUAAUUGGUAUGAAGAUAAAUGAAGGCCUUUAGGAAUUGAAGAAGAAGAAUAAGAGGGGAGGGUAAGAGAAGCAGUGAUCGUUUCCAUGAUUUUGUUUUCAGUUUUCUCAACCGUGUCUAGUGGCUAAGAGAUUAGAUAAUAAAUGUUUGUUUUUGUUUCUCCCAAGUCGAAACAACCCUGUCUUUAAUGGGUACAAGCACACGUCAUGUCUGCCGAUGAAUACGGUGGGAUACUACAUAUUCAAUUUUAUAUAUUAUAUAUUAUUUUUUUUUAUGAUAAUGUUUAAUUUAAUCUUCUACUCUAAGAUUUUCAAGCUUCUUGGACUCUUCAAUUGCUACUACAAUAUGAUCAAAGCUAGGUGUCAAUGUUCUCAAUAUUUUUUCCAUAAUAGUUUGAUCAGAAAUCAGUUCACCACACACUUUCAUUGCAUUUGUGUGGCUGAUGAUUCUGUUGCAAAAUUGUGCCACCCUCUCAUUAGAAAUUUCCAUAAGGAAACUCCAUUAAACCAAGUUAGUCCAUUUUCACGGAGAAAAAGUAAAAUCAGAUUUAGUGAUCAAUGUUCUAUAAUAGAUCAUUUAUAGUGGUACUUCAUAGUUGGUAAUUGUAAGUUUAGCAACAUUGAUUUUUGCAAUAUUUUACAUACAUGUCAUAUAAGAAAGAUCAUAAAGUUGUUAAACUUAUACUUAUAUCUCACAAAAGUCCAAAUACUUUACUUAUACUUGUAUCUCUAUGUUAAACUAGUUUUGACCCAUUAAUUGUAUCAUUUUUUUCUUUAGCAUCUCCCACAAUGAUGGAAUGCAAACAAAUAUUAGUUGCAUUCUGUAUGCCCUUGUAAAGGUGCAACUAUCUCAUGAUUUUUCGGAGUGGUUGCCUAGUAUAAAGGAAAUGGAGAAUUUUUAGAUAUCACACUCUAAAGGCAAAACUACUACACCAACAUAGCUCAAUCACAAAAGAAUAGUUUCUUUCAAAUACAUGACUCCAUGGUCAAAGUUUAACAAAAUAUACCUACUUAGCAUAUCUUUUACAUCUCAUACAUUAUCCUUAUUAUUACUAGAAACCUUUGUGUCUUGCUCUUGCUGUUCACUCACAUCAGUUAGUUCCUCAGAAGGGGUCUCAUCUGUUGAAUUAGGUUCCUUUUUAAGCUCGGACUCGAACUCCUUCGCUGCCUACAAGAUUCAAAAAUCUAAUGAGUGCCCAAUUAUGCAAUGAUGUAAAGCAUUUAACUGUUUAUAGAUGGCAUUAUGUCAAUGCUAAUUUCCUUAGAAUCUUGGCCACUUAUUAACAUGAUGAGUGCUGACUUCAUGCAUAAGCAUAACCCACAUCUGAUGCAAAACAAGGACAUUUGCAGAUUAAUACAAGUUAAAUCAAUGAUUCAAAGGUAUUGAAUACAGUAGCCGGAUAUGACAUCCUCUUUUCCUCCUAUGAAUGACCUCUUCAGUUUCUUGAAUGACCUUGUUUUAUUUAUUCCGUCCAUUUUUAUAGUACCAUAUUUUAGUUUUACCUUCAAGUUUUAAAUGCGCCUUUAUCCCAAAAGAGAAAACCAUAAUACCAAGAAAUCAAAUAAAAUAGUGGCAUUUCAAUCACUCAAUCAGUCUACUAAACAUUAACAGUAUUCUUUUUAGGUUGGGGGAGUGGAAGAAAACAGACACUCACCAAUAUUUUCUGUGUUAAAAAGCAUGUCUAUAAGAAGCUCCAACUAACAGCUUCUACCUACUAUUUGCAUGUGUUCCCUCAAAGUUUCAUGUAUUGGAAGAGAAAGAUUAACACAUUUUGUGAUAAGUGUAAGCCAAACCUACAUAAAGAUGCUUCGUCUAGGUCCAGGUGAGUGGGUUCCAAAUUUCCAAUCAUGCCUUGGGUGGAUAGGGGAGUAGGGAACAUUUAUGAACUUCAUGACUAAAAUGUACUACAUGUCUAAUGGAAUAUAAUUUAGAUAUCAAUUGAUCAACAAAUAUCAAUAGGAAAUCUUCCAAAAGGCAUCCAUCCACAACAAUUGAAUGAUGACUCUUUCAUUCUCGAAGAUGGAUAAUUUUUUGGUAAUACUAAGAGUAUACCCUCACCCUAUGUUCCCUUUUGGUGUGUAUGAUUGCCCCUCCCAACAAGUGUCGCUUCCAAGAAUCAAACUCUUGACAUUUUGGUCUUAUGGGGAUCUAGCGGGGCCUUAAUCCAGCAUCAGCGCCCGUAAAAAUGAAUUGAGACUGCUGCAAUAACAUUCAGAGUAUGUUUGAAGAAGAGCAACGUUCCUUACUCAAGUUUCUACCACACGUUUAUUUGAUUUAACAACAGAAUAGGAUCUAAAUUAGCAUAACUAUAAAUAUACCACUGCAAAAUAUUGGUAGUUAGAAUAGCUAUAUGGUUGUUGUUUAGAGUUAGAAAUUAAAAACAAACCAAUGAAGUCAUUGAGGUCAAUGUAACAUGAAGUGAGAUUUAUAUGUUGAAUGUUAAUUCAUUUGGAGUAUUUUCUCCUUGACUUGAAAAGGGAGGUCCUAUCAAUUGGUGCUCCCCUCUAUGUAACCUCCUGAGCACAACAAUAAGGUUGUUGCCUUUUGACCUGACCCUGGUUCAAAUCCACGAAACAGUCUUUCUAAGAUUGCAUGCAUUUACCUACCCAUACUUUAUUAGGUGAGGGUCUCGCGCACUAGGUUGCCCUCAACCUCAAAGUCAAAGAGAAACAAUCUUAAAUGAAUUAAUUAACAUCCACUAAAUAACUUUCACUAAGUCUAGCACCUUCUGCAUGUCAUAUAUCCUUCAACUAGAAAAUAACUUUAAAUUUAUUCAUCAAUUCAUUGAAACAAAAGAAAAUUGGCAUCAGUAACACUAACUAUGAACAAAAAAAAUCGCAAAACGGGUAAUAAAAAAAGCAGAAACCUG
rnacentral:lncRNA from 1 species